AUUGAACGCUGGCGGCAGGCCUAACACAUGCAAGUCGAGCGGAUGAAGGGAGCUUGCUCCUGGAUUCAGCGGCGGACGGGUGAGUAAUGCCUAGGAAUCUGCCUGGUAGUGGGGGAUAACGUCCGGAAACGGGCGCUAAUACCGCAUACGUCCUGAGGGAGAAAGUGGGGGAUCUUCGGACCUCACGCUAUCAGAUGAGCCUAGGUCGGAUUAGCUAGUUUGUGGGGUAAAGGCCUACCAAGGCGACGAUCCGUAACUGGUCUGAGAGGAUGAACAGUCACCCCGGCAGUGAGGAACGGGCCCGACUCCUAACGGGAGACACCGUUGGGAAUUAUAGGCGAUGGGCGAAAGCCUGAUCCAGCCAUGCCGCGUGUGUGAAGAAGGUCUUCGGAUUGUAAAGCACUUUAAGUUGGGAGGAAGGGCAGUAAGUUAAUACCUUGCUGUUUUGACGUUACCAACAGAAUAAGCACCGGCUAACUUCGUG
rnacentral:rRNA from 1 species